CCUACGGGUGGCAGCAGUGGGGAAUAUUGCACAAUGGGGGAAACCCUGAUGCAGCGACGCCGCGUGAGUGAAGAAGUAUUUCGGUAUGUAAAGCUCUAUCAGCAGGGACGAAAAUGACGGUACCUGAUUAAGAAGCCCCGGUUAACUACGUGCCAGCAGCCGCGGUAAUACAUAGGGGGCAGGCGUUAUCCGGAUUUACUGGGUGUAAAGGGAGCGUGGACGGCAGCACGAGUCUAGAGUGAAAUGCCGGGGCAUAACCCCGGAACUGCUUUGGAAACUGUGCAGCUAGAGUGCAGGAGAGGUAAGUGGAAUGCCUAGUGUAGCGGUGAAAUGCGUAGAUAUUAGGAGGAACCCCAGUGGCGAAGGCGGCUUACUGGACUGUAACUGACGUUGAGGCUCGAAAGCGUGGGGAGCGAACAGGAUUAGAUACCCUGGUAGUC
rnacentral:rRNA from 1 species